rnacentral:snoRNA from 1 species
AGACCAUGAUGAGGAGAAUGUCAAAAUAAUUCUUUGUAUCUUUCCCGAGCCUCGUACAAUGAUUUAAAAUCUUGCUGCAUAAAUGAUGUGAUAUCAUUUGUUUUU